rnacentral:tRNA from 1 species
GGGCUUGUAACUCAGUGGUAGAGUGCUCGCUUCGCAGUCCUCCAUUGGAGAAUAAAAAUGCGAGAAGUCGAGGGUUCAAUUCCCUCCAAGUCCA